rnacentral:rRNA from 1 species
UGGGGAAUUUUGGACAAUGGGCGCAAGCCUGAUCCAGCCAUGCCGCGUGCGGGAAGAAGGCCUUCGGGUUGUAAACCGCUUUUGUCAGGGAAGAAAUCUUCUGAGUUAAUACCUCGGGAGGAUGACGGUACCUGAAGAAUAAGCACCGGCUAACUACGUGCCAGCAGCCGCGGUAAUACGUAGGGUGCAAGCGUUAAUCGGAAUUACUGGGCGUAAAGCGUGCGCAGGCGGUUUUGUAAGACAGAGGUGAAAUCCCCGGGCUCAACCUGGGAACUGCCUUUGUGACUGCAAGGCUUGAGUGCGGCAGAGGGGGGAUGGAAUUCCGCGUGUAGCAGUGAAAAUGCGUAGAUAUGCGGAGGAACACCGAUGGCGAAGGCAAAUCCCCUGGGCCUGCACUGACGCUCAUGCACGAAAAGCGUGGGGAGCAAAACAGGAUUAGAUACCCUGGUAGUCCACGCCCUAAAACGAUGUCAAAC